UAGUGGCUACAAUAAUGAUAAUGCUCUCAAAACAAUGGUAAAAACAUAAGAACAUAACCACUAACAAUUAAAUAUGGAAAUUUAUAUAGUUUAGCCAAACUUCCUUAUUCAUUCCAACACCAAUAGGUUUAGCUCAUUGUAUUUAAAAGGCACAAAGUAGAAGGAUUGAAGAAAUACAUUCCAAAAGUUAAGAAAUAUAAUAUGAAAUACAAGACAAAGAAAUAAGCAUGUCCCCUUGGUCGAAUCCUUGAAGCUUGCUCAUGUUGGUCUUGAUUUCUUCAAGAUUUUCCUCCUUUCUGUAUGGUAUUUCUCUGCUUGCCCCCUUUUCUCUAUAUGCUAGGGUUUUAAAGUGGAUGAAGAAUAAUACCAAAAAUUGGUGUAAUUUGCCUUUUAAAUGGCCCAAAGACCGUAUUUUGUUAAUUAUAAAGUAGUCACCAACUAAAAAAUAUAGCCAGACAAGUCCUGGUUUGUAGCCAUGGCGCCCUGAAGUGGCGUUACGGUGUCAAAUCUCUGUUGUGAGUG
rnacentral:lncRNA from 1 species